rnacentral:rRNA from 1 species
GAUGAACGCUGGCGGCGUGCCUAAUACAUGCAAGUCGAGCGAAUGGAUUAAGAGCUUGCUCUUAUGAAGUUAGCGGCGGACGGGUGAGUAACACGUGGGUAACCUGCCCAUAAGACUGGGAUAACUCCGGGAAACCGGGGCUAAUACCGGAUAACAUUUUGAACCGCAUGGUUCGAAAUUGAAAGGCGGCUUCGGCUGUCACUUAUGGAUGGACCCGCGCCGCAUUAGCUAGUUGGUGAGGUAACGGCUCACCAAGGCAACGAUGCGUAGCCGACCUGAGAGGGUGAGCGGCCACACUGGGACUGAGACACGGCCCAGACUCCUACGGGAGGCAGCAGUAGGGAAUCUUCCGCAAUGGACGAAAGUCUGACGGAGCAACGCCGCGUGAGUGAUGAAGGCUUUCGGGUCGUAAAACUCUGUUGUUAGGGAAGAACAGGUGCUAGUUGAAUAAGCUGGCACCUUGACGGUACCUAACCAGAAAGCCACGGCUAACUACGUGCCAGCCGCCGUAAAAC